GCGAUUAGAAAUGAUCUUUAAGGAUUAGGGUUUCCGAUCGAUCUGAGACUCGUCGAUUUGGGAUAGCAUCAGGGAUUUAGGGUUUUUAUUGCCCUAGGGUUUCAGAAUGUAUAUUUAGUUGGACAUAAAGUACAUUGAAGUCGAGAUAUCGUUUCGGUUGCCCCGCGUAAGCAUGGGCCAUUUGAUUGUUGCUCGACAACAUGGAAACCUAUCUGACAGGUUUUUGCCUUGUGUUUGUUUUUGAGAUUUUAAUAUACGUUGAGGGUUUUUUGAUUGUUCCGACUUAUUAUUCAAUUAAUACGUUGUAAAUCAUUCAGAUUCGUAGCAGUAACAUCUAUCCUUUUGUAUUAGGGUUUAGCGGUAUAUUAUAUUUAAUCAUCUGGUUAAGAAAUUUCGUAGGUUUUUUGUUUCAAGUAAGCAUAUCUGCAUAAAUGUUGUUGUAGUAAAGCUUCAUUAGUUUCGGAUUUUGGAGCUACUUAUUUCAUCUCUGCUCUUGAGCUCCUCCGAGAUGGAGCUGGCAUUUUUUUACAGAUUGCUUUGAUCUUACGAAUAGACUGUUAGAAACUCCUAUGUUAAGUUUAAACAGCUGAAAAAUAAACUGAAAUCUGGAUACUUCAAGGUUUGUUUU